UACGGGGGGGGGCAAGCGUUGUUCGGAAUUACUGGGCGUAAAGGGCUCGUAGGCGGCCAACUAAGUCAGACGUGAAAUCCCCCGGCUUAACCGGGGAACUGCGUCUGAUACUGGAUGGCUUGAGGUUGGGAGAGGGAUGCGGAAUUCCAGGUGUAGCGGUGAAAUGCGUAGAUAUCUGGAGGAACACCGGUGGCGAAGGCGGCAUCCUGGGCAGUUGCUGACGCUGAGGCGCGACAGCGUGGGGAGCAAACAGG
rnacentral:rRNA from 1 species